rnacentral:rRNA from 1 species
AUGAACGCUGGCGGCGUGCCUAAUACAUGCCAGUCGAGCGAACAGACGAGGAGCUUGCUCCUCUGACGUUAGCGGCGGACGGGGGAGUAACACGUGGAUAACCUACCUAUAAGACUGGGAUAACUUCGGGAAACCGGAGCUAAUACCGGAUAAUAUAUUGAACCGCAUGGUUCAAUAGUGAAAGACGGUUUUGCUGUCACUUAUAGAUGGAUCCGCGCCGCAUUAGCUAGUUGGUAAGGUAACGGCUUACCAAGGCAACGAUGCGUAGCCGACCUGAGAGGGUGAUCGGCCACACUGGAACUGAGACACGGUCCAGACUCCUACGGGAGGCAGCAGUAGGGAAUCUUCCGCAAUGGGCGAAAGCCUGACGGAGCAACGCCGCGUGAGUGAUGAAGGUCUUCGGAUCGUAAAACUCUGUUAUUAGGGAAGAACAAAUGUGUAAGUAACUAUGCACGUCUUGACGGUACCUAAUCAGAAAGCCACGGCUAACUACGUG